rnacentral:rRNA from 1 species
UACGGGGGGGGCUAGCGUUGUUCGGAAUUACUGGGCGUAAAGGGCGCGUAGGCGGCCUACUAAGUCGGACGUGAAAUCCCUCGGCUUAACCGGGGAACUGCGUCUGAUACUGGAUGGCUAGAGGUUGGGAGAGGGAUGCGGAAUUCCAGGUGUAGCGGUGAAAUGCGUAGAUAUCUGGAGGAACACCGGUGGCGAAGGCGGCAUCCUGGACCAAUUCUGACGCUGAGGAGCGAAAGCCAGGGGAGCAAACGGG